GCCAUCUAUUCGGAGCAUCAGUUGUUAUCACCGGCCAUAAUUUCCAGCAAACUCACAACAAUUGUCUUCUGCUUGGUGCAGGAAAUGGCAGAGGCUGUGACGAAAGAUUUUGGAAGGAUUGACAUCUUUGUGCAUUCUCUUGCCAAUGGACCAGAGGUAACGAAGCCACUCUUGGAGACAUCUAGAAGAGGGUAUCUUGCUACAAUUUCAGCUUCGAGUUACUCUUUUGUCUCCCUGCUUCGACACUUUCUUCCAAUAAUGAAUCCAGCGGUGCUUCAAUAUCUUUGACAUACAUAGCUUCC